rnacentral:tRNA from 1 species
GGGGAUAUAGCUCAGUUGGUUAGAGCGCUGCAUUCACAUUGCAGAGGUCCUGUGUUCGAGUCACAGUAUCCCCACCA